rnacentral:misc_RNA from 1 species
AAGUCGUAACAAGGUCUCCGUUGGUGAACCAGCGGAGGGAUCAUUAUUGAGUGUAACAACUCCCAAACCCUUUGUGAACAUACCACUGUUGCUUCGGCGGCUCGUCCCGGUCCCGCCCCCCUCCUGGGGGGGCCGUGGCCGGGCUCAUGGCGUCCGCCGAAGGUACCUAACUAAACUCUUGUCUCCUAUGGUGUAUCUUCUGAGUGCUAUAAGCAAAAAACAAAAAUGAAAAACAACUUUCAGCAAUGGAUCUCUUGGCUCUG